rnacentral:rRNA from 1 species
GUAGGUGGCAAGCGUUGUCCGGAAUUAUUGGGCGUAAAGCACGCGCAGGCGGUUCUUUAAGUCUGAUGUGAAAGCCCACGGCUCAACCGUGGAGGGUCAUUGGAAACUGGAGAACUUGAGUACAGAAGAGGAAAGCGGAAUUCCACGUGUAGCGGUGAAAUGCGUAGAGAUGUGGAGGAACACCAGUGGCGAAGGCGGCUUUCUGGUCUGUAACUGACGCUGAGGCGCGAAAGCGUGGGGGAGCAAACAGGAUUAGAUACCCUGGUAGUCCACGCCGUAAACGAUGAGUGCUAAGUGUUAGGGGGUUUCCGCCCCUUAGUGCUGCAGCUAACGCAUUAAGCACUCCGCCUGGGAGUACGGCCGCAAGGCUG